rnacentral:rRNA from 1 species
AGUGAACGCUGGCGGUAGGCCUAACACAUGCAAGUCGAACGGCAGCACAGUAAGCUUUUGCCUUUACGGUUGGCGGGGGGCGGACGGGUGAGGAAUACAUCGGAUUCUUCUUUUUCUUGGGGAAUAACGUGGGAAAACUUCCGCUAAUACCGCAUAUGACCAACGGCAGAAUGCAGGGGAUCUUGGGACUUUGGCCGUUUGAUUUAGCCGAUGUCGGAUUAGCUAGUUGGGGGGGUAAGGGCCCACCAAGGCGACGAUCCGUAGCGGGUCUGAGAGGAUGAUCAGCCACACUGGAACUGAGACACGGUCCAGACUCCUACGGGAGGCAGCAGUGGGGAAUAUUGGACAAUGGGCGCAAGCCUGAUCCAGCCAUACCGCGUGGGUGAAGAAGGCCUUCGGGUUGUAAAGCCCUUUUGUUGGGAAAGAAAAGCAGCAGGUUAAUACCCCGCUGUUCUGACGGUACCCAAAGAAUAAGCACCGGCUAACUUCGUG